rnacentral:rRNA from 1 species
AUUGAAUGCUGGCGGCAGGCCUAACACAUGCAAGUCGAGCGGAGCGGCGGACGGGUGAGUAAUGCCUAGGAAUCGGCCUGGUAGUGGGGGAUAAAGUACGGAAACGGGCGCUAAUACCGCAUAAUAUCAGAUGAGCCUAGGUCGGAUUGGCUAGUUGGGGGGGAAAAGGCCUACCAAGGCGACGAUCCGUAACUGGGCUGAGAGGAUGAUCAGUCACAAGGGAACUGAGACACGGUCCAGACUCCUACGGGAGGAAGCAGUGGGGAAUAUUGGACAAUUGGCGAAAGCCUGAUCCAGCCAUGCCGCGUGUGUGAAGAAGUUCUUCGGAUUGUAAAGCACUUUAAGUUGGGAGGCGUUACCAACAGAAUAAGCACCGGCUAACUUCGUGCCAGCAGCCGCGGUAAUAC